AUGAAAUGCCGAUACUGCCUCUAGCUGUUUUAGUCUGUAGCACAGAAAAACGUAUACUACUAACAUGCAUGUAGCUUUCUUCCCAAUACAAAUAGCACCAUCAUCCUUGUGCAUUUUAAGAAGGCUUGCGGAUUAUAUUAUUCUCUCUGAGUUUCACUGCUAAAAACCUUUUCUUUGUCGCCAACUAGUGAAGCACAUAUUCUCUUCUUCCCACGUCUUUGUUUCAUGGAACUCCAUGAGGAGAGAAAGAAAUAUAGACGCACAAGCCUUGAGCCUGGAGAUCUAAUUGCUAAAAUCUGCACCUCUCUUUCCUAGCGUGGGACAAUUGCUGACAUACACGACUCUCACACUAUUGAUGAUAUUUAAAGAAUUACAUUUAACAAGACAAGAGGGGUUGCUUUGAUGGUAAGCAACCCCCACUUCAAUCGAGAGGUUGUGAGUUCGAGUCUUCCCAAGAGCAAGGUGGGAAGUUCUUGGAGGGAAGGAUGCCGGGGGUCUAUCUGGAAAUAGCCUCUCUAUCAAAGAGUAGGGGUAAGGUCUGCGUACAAACUACCCUCAUCAGACCUCACUAAGUGGGAUUCUAUUGGGUUAUUAUUGUUGUUGUAGCCCGUAAAACAUACCUUCAUUUCUAAGUUGUUAAUCUGACUUAUUAUGGACGAUAUUAUAUGUGGUUAUCUAUUAGAUAAACUAAUAAUGUAAAAG
rnacentral:lncRNA from 1 species